GACGAACGCUGGCGGCGUGCUUAACACAUGCAAGUCGAACGGUGACGGAGAGCUUGCUCUCCUGAUCAGUGGCGAACGGGUGAGUAACACGUGGGCAACCUGCCCCAGACUUCGGGAUAACGCUUCGAAAGAGGUGCUAAUACCGGAUACGAACUCCUUGGGCAUCCUUGGAGUUGGAAAGUUUUUCGGUCUGGGAUGGGCCCGCGGCCUAUCAGCUUGUUGGUGAGGUAACGGCUCACCAAGGCGACGACGGGUAGCCGGCCUGAGAGGGCGACCGGCCACACUGGGAAUGAGACACGGGCCAGACUCCUACGGGAGGUAGCAGUGGGGAAUAUUGCGCAAUGGGCGAAAGCCUGACGCAGCAACGCCGCGUGAGGGAUGACGGCUUUCGAGUUGUAAAGCUCUGUUAGGUGGAAAGAAACACUUCAGCGCUAAUACCGCUGAGGCUUGACGGUACCACCAGAGGAAGCACCGGCUAACUC
rnacentral:rRNA from 1 species